GUACAAUAAGAACUUCAAGACACUGAAGAAAGAAAUUGAAGAAGACCUCAGAAGAUGGAAAGAUCUCCCAUGCUCAUGUAUUGGCAGGAUUAAUAUAGUAAAAAUGGCCAUUUUACCAAAAGCAAUCUGCAGAUUCAAUGCAAUCCCCAUCAGAAUACCAGUCCAAUUGUUCAAAGAGUUAGACAGAACAAUUUGCAAAUUCAUCUGGAAUAACAAAAAACCCAGGAUAGCUAAAACUAUUCUCAACAAUAAAAGGACUUCAGGGGGAAUCACUAUCCC
rnacentral:lncRNA from 1 species